GAUCAUUACCGAGUGAGGGCCCUCUGGGUCCAACCUCCCACCCGUGUUUAUUUUACCUUGUUGCUUCGGCGGGCCCGCCUUAACUGGCCGCCGGGGGGCUCACGCCCCCGGGCCCGCGCCCGCCGAAGACACCCUCGAACUCUGUCUGAAGAUUGUAGUCUGAGUGAAAAUAUAAAUUAUUUAAAACUUUCAACAACGGAUCUCUUGGUUCCGGCAUCGAUGAAGAACGCAGCGAAAUGCGAUACGUAAUGUGAAUUGCAAAUUCAGUGAAUCAUCGAGUCUUUGAACGCACAUUGCGCCCCCUGGUAUUCCGGGGGGCAUGCCUGUCCGAGCGUCAUUGCUGCCCUCAAGCCCGGCUUGUGUGUUGGGCCCCGUCCUCCGAUCCCGGGGGACGGGCCCGAAAGGCAGCGGCGGCACCGCGUCCGGUCCUCGAGCGUAUGGGGCUUUGUCACCCGCUCUGUAGGCCCGGCCGGCGCUUGCCGAUCAACCCAAAUUUUUAUCCAGGUUGACCUCGGAUCAGGUAGGGAUACCCGCUGAACUUAAGCAUAUCAAUAA
rnacentral:misc_RNA from 1 species